GACGAGGGGGUCCAAGCGUUUGUUCGGAAUUAUUGGGCGUAAAGCGGGUGUAGGUGGCUCUGUAAGUCAGGAGUGAAAGCCCCGGGCUUAACUUGGGAACUGCGCUUGAUACGGCAGAGCUAGAGGAUGGAAGAGGGUCGCGGAAUUCCCCAGUGUAGAGGUGAAAUUCGUAGAUAUUGGGGAAGAACACCGGUGGCGAAGGCGGCAUCCUGGACCGGUAUUGACGCUGAGGCGCGAAAGCCAGGGGGAGCAAACGGG
rnacentral:rRNA from 1 species